GAUACAAUCAUAAGAAUUUGAGAUCGAUUGAUAUCGAGGAGAAAUAUGUUGAUAAAAGAACACCUAAGAAUUUGAGGCAUAAGAAUUAUGCUUAUGUCUCCUAAUGUACUGAAAAUGUGAAGUAUUGGGGGGUGAACUUCAUAAAAAUUCUUAAAAUCAUGAAAACAUUCAAUUGUUACAUUGUUAACAUUGUUCAAUAUUCGAAUAGCAUAGUUUAAGAGUUUGGCAAGUGUUUGACUCAUGAACACAUGGGUAUAUAUUUGAUGGGACUUGCAGACAUGGACAUGCGUGUCCAUGGAAUAAAAAUAGCUAAAUCUGAUGCCUCAUGACCAGCCCAUGACAUUAUGAUUCUUAACCUUGUGCUUUACAUCUGACAGCUUAAUGAUGCCUGGCUAUUUGAUGCUUUGGAUCACAAUGUUUUCCUAUCUUAUCAUAUUCAAAGAUGACUCAAAUCUCAAUGUUUCAGAUACUUGAGAAGUUCUCUUUGUUCAAGGAAGCUCUUUUGUUAACCAAUUGAUCAGUAUAAUUUAUGUAAGCUCAUGUAUGAUGUCUCAAACUCUUUUCCCUUCACUUUCAAAAUGCAUCACUCAAUUUGACUUCCAACUAGCUUGUAACUAAAUGUUAACAAAUUUGUGAGAUUUUGCACCAUGUACAAGAUAUAUUCCUAUAUUUAUGAGAGCAAGAAAAUAGAAAAUUCUAUAUAUUUCUGAUCAAAUGCAAGAUCUGAAUAUUCUAUGUGAUUGACAGUAAUGCCUCUUAACUGUUAUGUUCCUUUUUCGGUUUGUCAAUGGUAAAAACUACAUUAUGGAAAUAAAAGAGAACAAAUGUACAGGUUUCUACAUCUGGUUUCCUCUGCUUGAAGUCCUAGUAAUUUGGUCCAUGUAUAUGGAUAACUUUUCUGGUACGAUCUACAUUUCGCAUUAAUUCUUUCAUGCUGUGUCUACUUUGUCAUGAUUAUUAUAUCAGUUAUGUCCAUGCAGAAACUAGAACAGUCAUCUUAACAAUCUGUUUCUUGCAUUCACUGCAGUACCCAAGUUCACAGAUGUUGAUACAUACGGACAUUGAAGAUGAAACACUUUCAUGCACGGUGGCAAACAAAUUACAAGAAUUGCAAUUAUAAAGAGAGAAAAGUUAUACUUACGCGCAAAUGGCAUGUCCAAUCUCGUGUUUUUCCUCGCCUUCCAGCAAGAAUUGCUGCUUCAUUCAUCAAGUUUGCCAGGUCUGCACCACUGAAUCCUGGUGUUCUCAUUGCAAUAACACUCAAGGAUAUAUCUUUGUCGAGCUUCUUAUUGCUGCUAUGCACUUUUAGUAUUUCUUCCCUUCCUCUGAUGUCAGGCAAUCCAACAGUUACCUGCAAGGCAAAUGUGGAAACAAUUUUGUUACCUGUCGAUCAAAUCUUCCUGGUCUGAGCAAAGCUGAAUCAAGAACUUCUGGUCUGUUAGUAGCAGCAAUUACAAUAACUCCACUAUCACCACUAAAACCAUCCAUUUCAGUGAGUAGCUGAUUCAGUGUCUGUUCUCUUUCAUCAUUUCCUCCUCCAAUUCCUGUUCCCCUCUGCCUUCCUACUGCAUCAAUCUCAUCAAUAAAUACCAGGCAUGGAGAGUUCAUCUUUGCCUUGUUAAACAGAUCCCGCACUCUCGAAGCCCCCACUCCGACAAACAUCUCAAUGAAUUCUGAACCUGACAGAGAAAAGAAAGGAACCCCUGCCUCUCCUGCAAUUGCUUUAGCCAGCAAGGUUUUGCCAGUCCCUGGUGGACCAACAAGGAGCACACCCUUUGGAAUUCUUGCUCCGACAGCAGCAAACUUCUCUGGGGAUUUCAGGAAUUCAACAAUCUCCUUGAAAUCCUGCUUUGCUUCAUCGACUCCAGCUACAUCAUCAAAGGUGAUUCCUGUGUUGGGUUCCAUCUGAAACUCGGCUUUUGACCUGCACAGAGUUCAUAAGCAUCAAUGCUUUGUGUGCGUACCUUCUUCUGAACCAUCCAAAAGGCAAGUUGGGGCUUCCUGGAGUAUUCGGUGAUGAAGAUCUAAGGAACAAAGUUCCCAGUAACAGCAAGGGGAAGACCAGAUUUCCCAACAAGUCGAGGAUUGCAAGUCCCACAUUGGGUUCCACAGGAUGCGCUGCAAAAUCUACAUCCUUCUCUUUGAGUUUCCUGAGAAGCUCCGGGGGCAAUCCGGGAAGCU